rnacentral:misc_RNA from 1 species
UUUCCGUAGGUGAACCUGCGGAAGGAUCAUUACUGAGUGAGGGCCCCUCGGGGUCCAACCUCCCACCCGUGUUUAACGAACCUUGUUGCUUCGGCGGGCCCGCCUCACGGCCGCCGGGGGGCAUCUGACCCCGGGCCCGCGCCCGCCGAAGCCACCUGUGAACGCUGUCUGAAGUAUGCAGUCUGAGACAAUUAUUAAAUUAAUUAAAACUUUCAACAACGGAUCUCUUGGUUCCG